rnacentral:rRNA from 1 species
UACAGAGGGGGCAAGCGUUGUUCGGAAUUACUGGGCGUAAAGGGCGCGUAGGCGGCCUUCUAAGUCGAACGUGAAAUCCCUGGGCUCAACCCAGGAACUGCGUCCGAUACUGGAAGGCUUGAAUCCGGGAGAGGGAUGCGGAAUUCCAGGUGUAGCGGUGAAAUGCGUAGAUAUCUGGAGGAACACCGGUGGCGAAGGCGGCAUCCUGGACCGGUAUUGACGCUGAGGUGCGAAAGCGUGGGGAGCAAACAGG